UACGGAGGGGGCUAGCGUUGUCCGAAGUUACUGGGCGUAAAGCGCGCGUAGGCGGGUUGGUAAGUCCGCUGUGAAAGCCCGGAGCUUAACUCCGGAGGGUCGGUGGAUACUGCCAGUCUUGAAGGUGCUAGGGGGAGAUGGAAUUACCGGUGUAGCGGUGAAAUGCGUAGAUAUCGGUAGGAACACCAGUGGCGAAGGCGGUCUCCUGGGGCAUUCUUGACGCUGAGGCGCGAGAGCGUGGGGAGCGAACCGG
rnacentral:rRNA from 1 species